CCUACGGGGGGCUGUGGGGAAUAUUGGACAAUGGGCGAAAGCCUGAUCCAGCCAUGCCGCGUGUGUGAAGAAGGCCUUCGGGUUGUAAAGCACUUUCAGUGGGGAAGAAAGCCUUGGGGCUAAUACCCUCGAGGAAGGACAUCACCCACAGAAGAAGCACCGGCUAACUCCGUGCCAGCAGCCGCGGUAAUACGGAGGGUGCGAGCGUUAAUCGGAAUUACUGGGCGUAAAGCGCGCGUAGGCGGUCUGAUAAGCCGGUUGUGAAAGCCCCGGGCUCAACCUGGGAACGGCAUCCGGAACUGUCAGGCUAGAGUGCAGGAGAGGAAGGUAGAAUUCCCGGUGUAGCGGUGAAAUGCGUAGAGAUCGGGAGGAAUACCAGUGGCGAAGGCGGCCUUCUGGACUGACACUGACGCUGAGGUGCGAAAGCGUGGGUAGCAAACAGGAUUAGAUACCCUAGUAGUC
rnacentral:rRNA from 1 species